CCAACGGCUGUGGGCCCCUCCCUGGGCAAGGCGACAGCCCCACAACCGGCCCGACGUCGCGCCCCCGCCACUGAGGGCCUCGCGGAGCCGCCGUGGUGGGCCCAGCCCGGCCUCAGGAGGGCCCCUCAGGCUCCCAGCCCCCACGGGCGAGAGGGGCCGAGGCCCGGCCCGGCCCGGCCUGGGGGAGAGGCCGCCUCGGGCUUGCAACGGACUCACCCUCCCCACGUCGGGCUCGGCCCACGCGACGCCAUCUUGUUUGUGCCGGUUGCCCCGGUUACGGCCGGGCGAGAUGAUUGGCUCCGCGAAGGUCCCGUGGCUCGACCCCGUCUGAAAAGACUACUAGUCCCAGCAUGCAACGCUCGGGGGUUCUGCACCCUCCCCCGCAUCCUCGUGGAUGAUGAAACCGAGGCACUGAGAGGGAAAGCAACUUGCCCAAGGUCACGCCGCACGUCAGAACCCAGAUCACCUCUGGUCUGGUCCUGUGCUUUAGCCACAAGAUUCAGAAUUGUCAACUCUUGCAGUGUUCUUGGAAGUCUAUUUUUUUUAAAGCCUCAGCUCCUGGAGUAAUGUUAUUACAUGAGAAUCUCAACGUUCAUUUAAACAAAAUACAGAGAUUCCAGACCUUGUGAUUGUGGAGAAAAGAUAUGAUGCCCCUUCCCGUGGUAUCUGUGGCUCAGUACAACAGUCCAAAUUCAUGAGGCAAAAUUAAAGCUUCUGUUUCUGUUCUGGUGGGGGCAGAAGAGGACGCUUCCUUGCACAAGUUGCAUCUCACUCACAGAGGUUUAACAUGAAGACUGUCCUGCUCGUCACUGCUCUUCUCCUGAUGAAUUUGAUGACUGUAAGCUGUGAGACUGACACUAAAACGACAACCUCGCCAGCUAAGGCCCACCCGAGCCUGGGCACACCCUGCUGCGUCCCAGCUUCUCUUUUGCUGGCAUUUGCCUUGGCAGCAAUUUACCUCCUCCGAGCAAAAUGAGCCCCCGCAGUUCACUCCCCAGAGAGAUGCCAACGCUGCCUUCUGCCUGCCACCAUCUCAGCCUCUCCUGCUGGGCACCCCGCUGCAGCCUGCCAAUCCGCGGAACCCAGCUGGCAUAACCGCUCCAGUUGAAGUCUUCCCGCAACACACCCACUGCGCCCUUCUCUUCGCCACCAUCGGCUUCUUUCCUCGUUUCCCAUCAGAGCCAUUCAUUCCACCAACUGCGACGGAAUCCCGGCAGCAGAGUCCAGCUUCGCACGGAGAUUCCCAUUAGGAUCACAUUGGAGAGGCAGAUGCAUGUCUCACCGCAACACCCGAGGAGCCUUGCCAUUGAUUGAGCAGCUCCUGUGCAGAAUGGGCCUCCCCAAGGAAAAGAGACCGAGAUUGCAGCAAAGGGUGUAUUAUGUUGCAUGCUUGUGUAUGUAUUACACUAAUCUGAAGUUCCCCAGGCCUAGCCAUUGGAAGACAGAUCCCCAUUCCAUGAAAACAAGUUCUGAUGCUUUGAGAAAUUAAUGUGAAUAUAAAUUCUUUGGGGUCUUUCUGAUCCCUACAGAGUGGCAGCCAGCUCAACCUAAUAAAAUGAAAGACAAACUUCCUUACU